ensembl:snoRNA SNORD115 Small nucleolar RNA SNORD115
GGGUCAAUGAUGUCUGGCAGUCUCCAUCUUGAAAAGAGGUGAUGACAUAAAUAUUGGGCACAACAGGAAAUCUCUGAGGCCC